UACAGAGGGUGCGAGCGUUAAUCGGAAUUACUGGGCGUAAAGCGUGCGUAGACGGUUAUUUAAGUCGGGUGUGAAAGCCCCGGGCUCAACCUGGGAAUUGCAUUCGAGACUGAAUAGCUAGGGUACGGUAGAGGGAAGUGGAAUUUCCGGUGUAGCGGUGAAAUGCGUAGAGAUGUGGAGGAACACCGAUGGCGAAGGCAGCCUCCUGGGCCAGCACUGACGCUCAGGCACGAAAGCUAGGGGAGCGAAUGGG
rnacentral:rRNA from 1 species